GCAGGAAGGUCAGAGUCAGAGAAGAAGAUGACCACAGAAGCAGAGGAUAAAGUGAUGUCCUUUGAAGAUAAAGGAAGUGGCCAUGAGCCAAGGAAUGCAAGCAGCCUCUAGAAGGUAGAAAAGAUAAGGAAACAAUCUCUGCCCUAGAGCUUCCAGAAGGAACGCCAGCCUGUUGGCACCCUGAUUUGGGGCUUCUAACUUCCAGACUGCAAGAUCAUAAAUUUGUGUUAUUUUAAGCUUCUAAGUUCGUGCUAACUUGUUACAGCAGGAAUGGGAAACAAAUCAUAGAGCCAAUUAAAUAAACACAGGGAGGGAAAGAAAGAUGACCUAGUUUACUGUGAGACCUGAUACACCUGGGGCAGACGACACAUUUUGCUUUGUGUGCUUGUCACUUGAACCUUAGAUGUGGGUAUCAGAAACUGUAUUUUAUAGGUGAGGAAUCUAAAGCUCUAUAGACAUUAAAUCAGUUGCAUUAAGAGAAUGCAACCAGUGAGAAACCAAGCUGGAAUCUAGACCAAGAGCUUCCUAGCUUUUCCCACUGAACUUUGCAGCUCCCUAGCAUGUCUCCCAGGCACCAGAUCUAAUCACUGCUUCCCUGUGCCUUCCCUUUCUAUCCACCAUCUGAACUCUGAGCCCGGCAGCUCCAGGAGGCCGGGGCAUGGGGAGGCCCUCUCCCCAUAGAGACAUGCGCAUGGUUGGCUGUGAGCAUUCAGCACCCUGAUAUUCGGUCAGAAGGCUACGGAGAACUGAAGGGUCUUCACAUGCAAACAAAUGCUUUACCUGGAAGUGAGCCAUAUUUCCUUAGUUCACAACACAUUGGCCCAAGCUGUUGCAGAGUUCCUGAAACAGACUUACCCUGUGCCCAGAAGUUGGAGACAAGGAAAUAUUAGGUGAGCAGCACCUGCAGCUACACAUCACCAUUCUGUAGCUGCUGUCAGGUGAGGAGAAAGUGGGGAAGUUGCCUAUGAGGGAAGGCAAAUGUUAUCUUAAAAGUUAUGCUUGGGAUUGUCUUAGGCCAUUCAGGCUGCUGUAACAGAAUACCAUAGACUGGGAGGUCUAUAACUGACAGCAACCUAUUCCUCACAGUUCUGCACCCUGAGAAGUUCAAGAUCAAAGUACUGGCACUUACAGUGUCUGGUGGGGGCCUGUUUCCUGGUUCAUAGAUGGCUGUCUUCUCACUGUAUCCUCACAUGGCAAAAUGGGCAAACAAGCUCUCUGGGGUCCCUUUGAUAAUCUCAUUCUUGAAGACUCUGCCCUCAUGACUUAAUCUCCUCCCAAAGGCCCCCCUCCAAAUAUCCUCACACUGGGGGCUAGGAUUUCAACAUAUGAACUUGCAGGAACACAAACAUUUUGUUUAUAGCAAGGAAGAAGGGCUGAGAUAGAGAAACAAAAACACAACCAAAAAAGAAAUUGAGUCUAUGUCAGCUUGGAAGUAUUGAGAAAGAGUACAGGCUGGAGACAAGGUUCAUAGCUGAGACAACUUGGAGAGCAGAGGGAGAGUAGGUGAACAGCUGAGGCUGAAACAUUUGGAAUCUAAAUCCCGCAAACUGCAUGUGGAGACUUUUAACAUUACGAAGAGGCAUGAUGCCUCAUGAGUCAGAGAUAGCCCCUUAGGAGAAUUAAGUUGAACCAGAAAGCAGGCUAGAAUACCAUGCUAUCAGGUGUGGUGGUUGUAAUUUUAGGAAAGUAUUUGUUAGUUUAAACAAAUAAACAUUGUGCAAAAUACAUAAAACAUAACAGAGAUCACAUGAAGAGUUCAUGCAUCCCAAGUGCUUGGUCUGUUUUCUGGCUAUCACACCACUAUUUAUAAAGUGAAUAAUUAUUAGCUCAUUCAUUCCACAGAUAUUUUUAAGAGCUUUAUUAUUAGAGCUUAGAACAAUGGCUAAUGUAUACUAGGUGUUUAACAAAGGUUUGUGGAUGGGCUUAAUAAACGACUCUGUCCUCUGAGCCAAAUGCUG
ensembl:lncRNA